CCGCAUGGCCAAUAGUCCCACACCCGAAGACGGCUUGUCGUUUGCCAGUUUCUCCGAUGGAUACGACGACGGUUUCAAUUCCAAACAAAUUGAUCCGAGGCGCUACGUCUCGGAGUUCAAGCGUCGUAGCUCCGAAGCCCUAACUGAGCUCAUCACGGGCAGUGAAAACCAGGGUGCUCAACCGUUUACUUGCUUGGUUUACAGUCUACUCCUCCCUUGGACUGCUGAAGUGGCGCGUGCAUAUCAUCUCCCUUCGGCGCUCCUUUGGAUUCAACCAGCCCUCGUUUUCGACGUUUAUUACUAUUAUUUCUAUGGAUAUGGCGAUCUAAUUGAAGAGAAGGUUAAUGAUUUGAUAGAGUUACCGGGACUGCCGCCACUCACCGGCUGUGAUCUUCCUUCUUUCAUGGAUCCCAGAAAGUCAAAUGAUGCUUACUCUUUCAUAUUACCUUAUUUUAAAGAACAAAUGGAGGCAAUUGUCGAAGAAACCGAUCCAAAAAUUCUUGUCAACACGUUCGAUGCAUUAGAGGCUGAGACAUUAAGAGCCAUCGAUAAGUUCAAUAUGAUCGCAAUCGGACCGUUAGUUGCAUCGGCGUUGUUGGACGGAAAAGAGCUGUACGGAGGCGAUCUUUGCAAGAAUAGUUCAAAAGAGUAUUAUAUGGAAUGGCUAAGCUCGAAGCCCAAAUCAUCUGUUAUCUACGUGGCGUUCGGAACCAUAUGCGUUCUGGAGAAGCGUCAAGUGGAGGAAAUUGCACGCGGGUUGUUAGAUAGUGGUCAUCCAUUCUUGUGGGUCAUUAGAGAACACGAAAAUAAAGAUAAAGAUAAAGGUGAAGAUGACGUGGUGAUGAAGUACAAAGAAGAGCUGAAUGAGAAGGGAAUGAUAGUGCCGUGGUGUUCACAAGUGGAGGUUCUGUCACAUGAAGCGGUGGGGUGUUUUGUAACGCACUGUGGGUGGAAUUCGAGCUUAGAAAGCCUGGUAUGUGGCGUGCCUGUGGUGGCAUUUCCUCAAUGGACAGACCAAGGGACAAACGCUAAAAUUAUUGUGGACUUCUGCAAAACUGGAGUGAGAGUGAAGGCUAAUGAAGAAGGGAUUCUAGAAAGUGAUGAGAUUAAGAGGUGUUUGGAGUUGGUGAUGGGAGAAGGAGAUGAAUUUAGAGGAAAUUCUUUGAAAU
rnacentral:lncRNA from 1 species